AACCUUCGGGGGACGAUAACGGCGUCGAGCGGCGGACGGGUGAGUAAUGCCUAGGAAAUUGCCCUGAUGUGGGGGAUAACCAUUGGAAACGAUGGCUAAUACCGCAUGAUGCCUACGGGCCAAAGAGGGGGACCUUCGGGCCUCUCGCGUCAGGAUAUGCCUAGGUGGGAUUAGCUAGUUGGUGAGGUAAGGGCUCACCAAGGCGACGAUCCCUAGCUGGUCUGAGAGGAUGAUCAGCCACACUGGAACUGAGACACGGUCCAGACUCCUACGGGAGGCAGCAGUGGGGAAUAUUGCACAAUGGGCGCAAGCCUGAUGCAGCCAUGCCGCGUGUAUGAAGAAGGCCUUCGGGUUGUAAAGUACUUUCAGUCGUGAGGAAGGUGGUAGUGUUAAUAGCGCUAUCAUUUGACGUUAGCGACAGAAGAAGCACCGGCUAACUCCGUGCCAGCAGCCGCGGUAAUACGGAGGGUGCGAGCGUUAAUCGGAAUUACUGGGCGUAAAGCGCAUGCAGGUGGUUUGUUAAGUCAGAUGUGAAAGCCCGGGGCUCAACCUCGGAAUAGCAUUUGAAACUGGCAGACUAGAGUACUGU
rnacentral:rRNA from 1 species